UACGUAGGCAGCGAGCGUUGUUCGGAAUUACUGGGCGUAAAGCGUGCGUAGACGGCUAUCUAAGUCGGGUGUGAAAGCCCCGGGCUCAACCUGGGAAUUGCAUUCGAGACUGAAUAGCUAGGGUACGGUAGAGGGAAGUGGAAUUUCCGGUGUAGCGGUGAAAUGCGUAGAUAUCGGAAGGAACAUCAGUGGCGAAAGCGACUUCCUGGACCAGUACCGACGUUCAGGCACGAAAGCGUGGGGAGCAAACAGG
rnacentral:rRNA from 1 species